rnacentral:rRNA from 1 species
AGUGAACGCUGGCGGCAGGCCUAAUACAUGCGAGUCGAACGAAAAGACGGUGAGAGUGCGCCUCUAACGGUGGCGACUGGCGGGCGGGUAAGGCGUGGAUCGCAAUCCUCUAAUUCUGGGGGGACUACGUAGGACCAGUGCUGCUACUGCCUCAUAUGUCCUACGGGUUGAAGCAGGAGUUAUUGAGACUUUUGCUGAUACAUAGAGACGAAGCCGCAUUAGCUAGUUGGCGGGGUAAGGGCACACCUAGGCGACGAUCCGUAGCUGGCCUGAGAGGAUGAUCAGCCACACUGGAACUGAGACACGGUCCAGACUCCUACGGGAGGCAGCAGUGGGGAAUCUUCCGCAAUGGGCGCAAGCCUGAUCCAGCCAUACCGCGUGGGUGAAGAAGGCCUUCGGAUUGUAAAGCCCUGUUAUUAGGAAAGAACAGCAGCAUGAGAAUACCCCGCUGUUCUGACGGUACCCAAAGAGUAAGCACCGGCUAACUUCGUG